rnacentral:rRNA from 1 species
AUUGAACGCUGGCGGCAUGCUUUACACAUGCAAGUCGAACGGCAGCACGGGUGCUUGCACCUGGUGGCGAGUGGCGGACGGGUGAGUAAUACAUCGGAACGUGUCCAGAAGAGGGGGAUAACGCAUCGAAAGAUGUGCUAAUACCGCAUAUACUCUAAGGAGGAAAGCAGGGGAUCGAAAGACCUUGCGCUUUUGGGGCGGCCGAUGUCUGAUUAGCUAGUUGGUGGGGUAAGGGCCUACCAAGGCGACGAUCAGUAGUUGGUCUGAGAGGACGACCAGCCACACUGGGACUGAGACACGGCCCAGACUCCUACGGGAGGCAGCAGUGGGGAAUUUUGGACAAUGGGCGCAAGCCUGAUCCAGCAAUGCCGCGUGAGUGAAGAAGGCCUGGUUGUAAGCUCUUCAGUCGAGAAGAAAGGAC